AGAACCUCAAUGUUAACGAACUUUAUAAACUUAAGGCAAGGUUACAGCCAACCACAAAAGCUUCGAAAUGUACGACGGCAAACGAUAUGUGUAGUAUUAAGUCGCAGAACGAUAAAAAUAAAAUAUCAGGCACGCCACGGGCUGCCAGCAAUUUUUAUUUUUAUUUUUUUUCUUUUGGUUUUUUGUAGAAAACGAAAAUUAUUUCCUGUUUUCAGCAAUAACAACUGAGAUCCCUCUUUAAAACUCUUACAGUACGCCUCUGCUAUCCGUAACAGAGAGUGGUGAAUUUCGAUUAGACGAGAGUAAUCAGAAGAUACGGAUUUGCAUUUGUUUACCGUUUACCCCCGCUACCCAAUUUUGCUACAAAAAGAAAACGUCGCAAAAGGAGAAGGAAUAAGAGCUAAUUGAUUACAAGGUGCGCCUUACAAAAAAAUAUAUUUCAACGGCGUAGAACAUGGCGUCUUCCUUUUUUUUAACCUUUUUUGUCUGAAAUUAUUAUCAAAAAUCUUAUCUAAGAACUAAACUAAUGUAAGUUUUCAAUGUAUUUGUAAGUUAAAAACUUAAUUUUGAAAUAAAGUUGACAUAAAAAGCAAGUCAUGCUUUUGAUGAGUGUUUUAAUUGAGCGGCUGGCUGAGCUACAAAUAGAGGGUGAAUGCAUUGCAUAUGUUUAUAAUAAAUGAGACAUACGAAUAUAAAAAUAAAAAUAAAAAUAAUAAUGCAUGGGCCCCUCCAAGUUUCGUUGUGUAUUUUUGGAGCACCCGCAUGCUUACUCUCUCCCUCCCUCGGUUCGCCCAAUUGCAAUUUGUUUAUUCCAUUUCGCUGUGGUGCAUUCAACCUGUAGGGGAAAGAGACAGGUGCACUUACGACGAUGACGAUGACGACGGCGGCAUUUACCGUUUCUCGGGAUCAACAGCUGUGCGAUGGAAAAUGAGAGAGAGCCAGCUGUACUCCGAGGACUUGGAGACAACGCAAUUUGUUGAACUUUAAUGCGUAAAAAAAAGCAAAUGGAAACUGCAGUAAACAAUGAAAUCGUUGCUAACAGCACUUCCACUCCACCCCACCCCACCCCAUUCCACAUUUCUCCACGCUUUGUUAUUGUUGGCCUGGCUCAUAGGACGGGAAUGAGCCAAUGGCGCAUGCAACAAAUUGCGUUCUGGCAACACUUUCGGGUUGGAAGCGCAGUUCCCGAUGACAAGAAGAACUUGAAACAAAAAUCCAGGAAACAGGCUUCUUGAUGACGUAGCUUGUUUUCCAGCUGAAUUCCAAUUGCAAUUGUUCAAAUUACCCCACUUGAGUGUCGUGGAGGAAACCAGAAUACGUUGCAUGGAAAAUAUGUACAAAGAAGACUACGGAGUAAGGAGCCACCACCACCACCACCACUACCACGACCAGCAACAUCAACACCCCUACGAUAUGGCCAAAAGUUGUCGUCACCCAUGGAGUGAUUAACAAAAGCGGUUGAUUGAACUUUGUUUGGCCUCCACUCAUCCUACAUUGGAUGUUUGUAUUUGUGCCAAGUUCGUAGGUGUAUUGGGGUUUUGUACUUGAACUGCCCCACAUUGCGGUGCGGAGCUCAUAAUUUCGGGUGCUAAUGACCAGACGACUGACUUUGAACACUGCAUAUAUACAAGUCCGGCAAUUGUUUUCUAAAAUUGAUUUAUUUUAAAUACUUUGCAUUGUUGGGGGAUUCCAGAUGGGAAGUCCAUCGCAGGGCUAGGGUUUUCCAAGCAUCCAAUAUCUAUUUACUUUUAAAUAUAUUAGAAAUUGUGGACUGAUUAGACCAUAUAUCACUAGUAAUUUUGAAAACAUUGAAAACUUUUAGUUACUAUA